rnacentral:rRNA from 1 species
UAGGGAAUCUUCCGCAAUGGGCGAAAGCCUGACGGAGCAACGCCGCGUGAGUGAUGAAGGUCUUCGGAUCGUAAAACUCUGUUAUUAGGGAAGAACAAAUGUGUAAGUAACUAUGCACGUCUUGACGGUACCUAAUCAGAAAGCCACGGCUAACUACGUGCCAGCAGCCGCGGUAAUACGUAGGUGGCAAGCGUUAUUCGGAAUUAUUGGGCGUAAAGCGCGCGUAGGCGGUUUUUUAAGUCUGAUGUGAAAGCCCACGGCUCAACCGUGGAGGGUCAUUGGAAACUGGAAAACUUGAGUGCAGAAGAGGAAAGUGGAAUUCCAUGUGUAGCGGUGAAAUGCGCAGAGAUAUGGAGGAACACCGGUGGCGAAGGCGACUUUCUGGUCUGUAACUGACGCUGAUGUGCGAAAGCGUGGGGAUCAAACAGG